AAGGAAUAUUGGUCAAUGGUGGGAACACUGAACCAGCCAUCCCGCGUGCAGGACGAAGGCCCUCUGGGUUGUAAACUGCUUUUAACAGGGAAGAAACGGGCGGAUUUAUCUGCUCCUGACGGUACCUGUGGAAUAAGCACCGGCUAACUCCGUGCCAGCAGCCGCGGUAAUACGGAGGGUGCAAGCGUUAUCCGGAAUCACUGGGUUUAAAGGGUGCGUAGGCGGCCUGGUAAGUCAGGGGUGAAAGCUUCCCGCUCAACGGGAGAACUGCCCUUGAUACUGCCGGGCUCGAAUUGGGUUGAGGCUGGCGGAAUGUGGCAUGUAGCGGUGAAAUGCUUAGAUAUGCCAUAGAACACCGAUUGCGAAGGCAGCCAGCCAAGCCUUGAUUGACGCUGAGGCACGAAAGCGUGGGGAGCGAAC
rnacentral:rRNA from 1 species